UGGGAUAUCCGUCCACGACCAGAAUAUACAUUGUUGCAGGGGAAAUUUAUGGCAACAACAGCAUGGAUGAAUUCCGUUCUCAUUACCCGAAUGUGUACUCUCACUCAACCCUUGCAACAAAUGAAGAACUUGAGGCUUUCAAGAAUUAUCAAAACCGUCUUGCUGCAGUAGACUACAUGGUAGCCCUUGAAAGCGAUGUUUUUGCUUACACUUACGAUGGCAAUAUGGCGAAGGCCGUGCAAGGUCAUAGACGAUUUGAAGGAUUUCGGAAGACCAUUAACCCGGACAGGUUCAACUUUGUAAGAUUGAUCGACUCGUUAGAUAAAGGUGAAAUCUCUUGGGAAGAGUUUGCUUCAAAAGUUAAGGCCUUACAAUCCAACAGAUUAGGAGCACCUUACCUAAGACAAGCCGGUGAAUCACCACGAUUAGAGGAGAACUUUUACGCAAAUCCUUUACCAGGUUGCUUGUGUAAUCGAUCACACGAAGAAGCCAGUAAACAACUCAACAAGAGACCAAGACUGAGGGUUGCUUCACAAAGAUAGGUACUUUCAAUGAUCAUAAUGUGGUAGAUUAGUUCAAUAUCAAUAUACAUGUUCUACAAAUGGCCUAUAAGGGGUUGCCAGAAGUCGGGUUUUUCAUCGCCCUUCACACUGCGCAGCGAGCAGAAAGAAAGAGAGAUUGUUGUAAGAAGCAAAGCAGUACUUGGAAGCAGAGAUAUGAUGGUUUAUAAGAUGGACAAAAGAAAGCAUAUACACAAACCAGAGAGAUGUACUCAAAAAUCAUUCUUUAGGGCGACG
rnacentral:misc_RNA from 1 species